rnacentral:rRNA from 1 species
GAGUUUGAUCCUGGCUCAGAUUGAACGCUGGCGGCAGGCCUAACACAUGCAAGUCGAGCGGAUGACGGGAGCUUGCUCCUUGAUUCAGCGGCGGACGGGUGAGUAAUGCCUAGGAAUCUGCCUGGUAGUGGGGGACAACGUUUCGAAAGGAACGCUAAUACCGCAUACGUCCUACGGGAGAAAGCAGGGGACCUUCGGGCCUUGCGCUAUCAGAUGAGCCUAGGUCGGAUUAGCUAGUUGGUGGGGUAAUGGCUCACCAAGGCGACGAUCCGUAACUGGUCUGAGAGGAUGAUCAGUCACACUGGAACUGAGACACGGUCCAGACUCCUACGGGAGGCAGCAGUGGGGAAUAUUGGACAAUGGGCGAAAGCCUGAUCCAGCCAUGCCGCGUGUGUGAAGAAGGUCUUCGGAUUGUAAAGCACUUUAAGUUGGGAGGAAGGGCAGUAAGUUAAUACCUUGCUGUUUUGACGUUACCGACAGAAUAAGCACCGGCUAACUCUGUGCCAGCCGUCGA